CGUACACUCCUACGGGAGGCAGCAGUGGGGAAUAUUGGACAAUGGGCGCAAGCCUGAUCCAGCCAUGCCGCGUGAGUGAUGAAGGCCCUAGGGUUGUAAAGCUCUUUCACCGGUGAAGAUAAUGACGGUAACCGGAGAAGAAGCCCCGGCUAACUUCGUGCCAGCAGCCGCGGUAAUACGAAGGGGGCUAGCGUUGUUCGGAUUUACUGGGCGUAAAGCGCACGUAGGCGGACUAUUAAGUCAGGGGUGAAAUCCCGGGGCUCAACCCCGGAACUGCCUUUGAUACUGGUAGUCUUGAGUUCGAGGGAGGUGAGUGGAAUUCCGAGUGUAGAGGUGAAAUUCGUAGAUAUUCGGAGGAACACCAGUGGCGAAGGCGGCUCACUGGCUCGAUACUGACGCUGAGGUGCGAAAGCGUGGGGAGCAAACAGGAUUAGAAACCCCAGUAGUCCCAUGA
rnacentral:rRNA from 1 species